AGAGAGAGGGAGGGGGUGACUAGUGACAGAGUGAGGGAGGUGAUGAUUAGUGACAGAGGGAGGGAUGGGGUGACUAGUGACAGUCACUGUGUCACCCCCUUCCUCACUCUGCCACUAGUCACCCCUUCCUUCCCUCACUCUGCCACUAGUCACCCCUUCCCUCACUCUGUCACCUGUCACCCCCUCACUCUGUGACCUGUCACCCCCUCACUCU